rnacentral:rRNA from 1 species
ACCUGGUUGAUUCUGCCAGUAGUCAUAUGCUUGUCUCAAAGAUUAAGCCAUGCAUGUCUAAGUAUAAGCAACUUGUACUGUGAAACUGCGAAUGGCUCAUUAAAUCAGUUAUCGUUUAUUUGAUAGUACCUUACUACAUGGAUACCUGUGGUAAUUCUAGAGCUAAUACAUGCUAAAAACCCCGACUUCAGGAAGGGGUGUAUUUAUUAGAUAAAAAACCAACGCCCUUCGGGGCUCCUUGGUGAAUCAUAAUAACUUAACGAAUCGCAUGGCCUUGCGCCGGCGAUGGUUCAUUCAAAUUUCUGCCCUAUCAACUUUCGAUGGUAGGAUAGUGGCCUACCAUGGUGGCAACGGGUAACGGGGAAUUAGGGUUCGAUUCCGGAGAGGGAGCCUGAGAAACGGCUACCACAUCCAAGGAAGGCAGCAGGCGCGCAAAUUACCCAAUCCCGAUACGGGGAGGUAGUGACAAUAAAUACUGAUACGGGGCUCUUUUGGGUCUCGUAAUUGGAAUGAGAACAAUUUAAAUCCCUUAACGAGGAACAAUUGGAGGGCAAGUCUGGUGCCAGCAGCCGCGGUAAUUCCAGCUCCAAUAGCGUAUAUUAAAGUUGUUGCAGUUAAAAAGCUCGUAGUUGAACCUUGGGUCUGGCUGGCCGGUCCGCCUCACCGCGAGUACUGGUCCGGCUGGACCUUUCCUUCUGGGGAACCUCAUGGCCUUCACUGGCUGUGGGGGGAACCAGGACUUUUACUGUGAAAAAAUUAGAGUGUUCAAAGCAGGCCUUUGCUCGAAUACAUUAGCAUGGAAUAAUAGAAUAGGACGUGUG